GACGAACGCUGGCGGCGUGCUUAACACAUGCAAGUCGAACGGAAGGGCGCGGCGUUUGUUUGGUGCUCGUUUGGCGAAGGGGGGAGUAACACGUGAGGAACCUCCCCUUGUCUUUGGGGUAACUUCACGAGACUCGGGCGAAUACCGGGUAGGAGCUCCUGCUGCGUGUUGUGGGUUGGUAAAAUUCGGCGGUGGGGGCUCGACUCGCUGGUUAUCAGCUUGUUUGUCUGGUAGUUGCUUACCAGGGUUUUGACGGGUAGCCGGCCUGGGAGGGGGACCAGCGACCUUGGGCCUGAGAUACGGACCAGACUCCUACCGGAGGCAGUAGUGGGGAACCUUGCACAAUGGGGCGAAGUCUGAUGUAGAAACGCCGCGUGCGGGAUGACGGCUUUCGAGUUGUAAACAGCUUUCGAAUGUGCCGAAGAGUUCGUGACGGUAAUGGGUCAGGAAGCCACGGCUAACUACGUG
rnacentral:rRNA from 1 species